CGCACUGGGCAUGGGAUGGAACCCCAUGGACCAAGUAUCAGCCCAUUCCCUACUUUGAUAUAACAGCCUUCUCUUAUGGCCAAGACCUCUGAAUCAGCCAGUGAGCAAGAGCACGGAAUUAAGAUAAAGAAAACAAGCAAAAUUAACUGAAGAAAAAGGAGUUUGAUUUUUGUGAAGUACUUAGCCAUCUGUGACACUCUUCUUUUAAGGUGAUGAGCAUUUAAUGUAUAAUGUGUAUUCUGACUGAAUUUCUCUU